rnacentral:rRNA from 1 species
GACGAACGCUGGCGGCGUGCUUAACACAUGCAAGUCGAACGGAAAGGCCCUGCUUUUGUGGGGUGCUCGAGUGGCGAACGGGUGAGUAACACGUGAGUAACCUGCCCUUGACUUUGGGAUAACUUCAGGAAACUGGGGCUAAUACCGGAUAGGAGCUCCUGCUGCAUGGGGGGGGUUGGAAAGUUUCGGCGGUUGGGGAUGGACUCGCGGCUUAUCAGCUGGUUGGUGGGGUAGUGGCUUACCAAGGCUUUGACGGGUAGCCGGCCUGAGAGGGUGGCCGGCCACAUUGGGACUGAGAUACGGCCCAGACUGCUACGGGAGGCAGCAGUGGGGAAUAUUGCACAAUGGGCGGAAGCCUGAUGCAGCAACGCCGCGUGCGGGAUGACGGCCUUCGGGUUGUAAACCGCUUUCGCCUGUGACGAAGCGUGAGUGGCGGUAAUGGGUAAAGAAGCACCGGCUAACUACGUG